AGCGUAUAUUAAAGUUGUUGCAGUUAAAAAGCUCGUAGUUGAAUUUCGGGAUUGGCGCAUCGGUCGUGCCUCACGGGGUAUGAACUGGUGCAGUCAAUUUCUCACCUUCUGGAGAACCGCGAUGUCCUUAAUUGGAUGCCGCGGGGAACCAGGACCUUUACUUUGAAGAAAUUAGAGUGUUUAAAGCAGGCAUUUUUGCUUGAAUACAUUAGCAUGGAAUAAUAAAAUAGGACGGCAUGGUUCUAUUUUGUUGGUUUCUAGGACCACCGUAAUGAUUAAUAGGGAUAGUUGGGGGCAUUAGUAUUCAAUUGUCAGAGGUGAAAUUCUUGGAUUUAUUGAAGACUAACUACUGCGAAAGCAUUUGCCAAGGAUGUUUUCAUUAAUCAAGAACGAAAGUUAGGGGAUCGAAGACGAUCAGAUACCGUCGUAGUCUUAACCAUAAACUAUGCCGACUAGGAAUCAGACGAUGUUAAUUUUUUAAUGACUC
rnacentral:rRNA from 1 species